rnacentral:lncRNA from 1 species
AAUCCCUUACUAGAAAUAGGCAAAUGUAGGACAAAAUAAGAUAAAUAACUAGGCCAGACAAACUAUGUUAACAAAGAAAAUAAUUUCUGACAAUUAAUGUGUCAAUCUGGGAGAUAUGCAUAGAAAGUUUAUGGAACUGUUUUUCAUCUAACAUGAUUACCUCCAAAUAUAAGGGGGCAUUUCACAGGUUCAGCUACACAAAAAGGUUGCAAUUCUUGAGCCACCUCGGCUACACUUUUGUGCUCAUCUUUUGCUAGCAAAACCCCUCUAUCUGAUUGCAUAACCUGGUUAAAUUAUGAUACUCAGUUGAUGUUAUUAAAACCUCCAAAAUAGAAGAACUGAGAAUGCACUUAUAAUGUAAGUAACACAUGCAAUCAAAACAAAACCAAAUUUGGUUAACUGCUUCUAUGCAAGUCAUAUCCCAUUUAGUUGGGUAGUUAGCUACCGUGUUUCUUUAACCUUAAGAUGUUAGUUUCAGCACCUCAUGAAGCAAGAAUUCAGUUAGUUUCUUAAGGGUGUUUGUUUGUUAUAAUAUCCCUUAAUCUUUUGGUAAGCAUUUACAAUCUACAAGGAAGCACUUGCCUAUUUUUCCCAAACUAUUUGAGGCCCAAAACUCUACGACCGGUGGUGAAGUGGGUGAGCCUGGAGAUUGCACACAUAGAGAUCAAUACAAAGGUAGUGAUAGAUUAGGUACGUAAAGAGAACAAUGGAUAGUUGAGGUAUUCACUCUUGAAGAAGUAAUAAUUUAGGUAUUCACAUUUGAGGUAGUGGUAUGGACUGCGUACACUUACCCUCCCCAGGCCCCAUUUGGUGGGAAUAUACCUGGUAUGUUGUUGUUGUUGCAACUCUUAUGAAAAAGGGUAGGAUAGAGGAUAAAAUAGGAUUUUAUAUAUAAUAAGCAAAUGUAAAAUGUGAAAAAAAUAAGCAUGACACGGUCACACCGAAUCGGUCGUUACACAAAAUGACAUUUUUCAUUGUUAUGUAACAAUUUGUUUAAGAUACAACAUAAUAAAGUUGAAGUAACAAUCAAAACAACUUUGCAUUUAAAGUAACAAUACGAUUAGGAUACAAUACGUAGCAACCAUCCAAACAUGCUGUAAAUUGGACAAGGGGGGUAUCACAUUAUCAUUGUUAAUAGUUUGAAGUACUACAACAACAACAUACCCAGUAUAAUUCCACAUAGUGGGGAUCGUUGAUAGUUUGGAGCUAAGUUACUCGGACUCUCCAAGAACAUUGCUACACCCGUGUCGGAUCCUUAAAAAAAAACACUAUAUUUGGGGGAUCCAACACGCACCUGAAGACAUUUUUGAAGAAUCCGAGCAACUUAGGUUUGGAGUCAGGUAGUGAAUCAACAUAGACUUUGUUACUAUUGCCAAAUUAAGGGUACAUAUCUGUUACUUCCUCCGUCCCAAUUUACGUGGCACCUUUGUUUCAAACAAGUUACUGUAAUUUUUUCAUAUAUCAUCAAAUAUUUUGAAUUGUCAAUUAGACUUACUUGAUAAUAAAAUGGCUCCUUCAUUUUCAAAAAAAAACUUAUACUUCCUCCGUCCCAUUUUACUUUGCCUUCUUUUAAAUAUAUUUGUUUCAAAUUAGUUGUCCAUUUUCGCAAAUCAAGAGUGUUUUAUUACUUCUUUCUUAUAUUACCCUCAAUAUUAAAUAACCAAAGAAAAUAGUAAUAGUUAGAUUUAGAGUUUCAAGACAUCAUUAAUAAGGUUAAUUGUGUAAUACACUUCUAAUUAAUAUUUUCUUAAUGGGUGUGUUAAGUCAAAAGAGCACAAGUAAAAUGCAACAGAGGGAGUACUACUUUUAGUAGAUUCUAAAAAUGCACUCUCUCUAGUCCAAAAUAAAUGAAUUUUUGAGUUAUUUUUCAAUAUCCAAAAUAAGUAAAUUGUUCAUUCUUCCAGAGAUAUGCUGAAAAUUUCUUUCAAUUUUAUUCUUCAUUUACACUUUCUAGGUUAUGAGUUUCAAAAGAAUUAAUUUACUUUAUUUUGAUACGGGUGAUAUUUCAAGACUAGUUUGAUAAUAUUAAAAGGAUAAACAUGAAAAGUAAAGUACUCCCUCCGUCCCAUUUUAGUUGGGCACAUUCCAUUUUACACGGUGAUUAAGAAAUUAAAUUGAAUAAUAAAUUUUACUAGUUUACCCUUUACCCAUAUUAAUAAUAUUGGGCGUAGCAAUAGCUAUUGGAAUUGUAAUUGUUCACCUUUAAUGUAAACUAUUAAUUAUAGGGGUAAAAUGGAAAAAAAAUUAAUUAAUUUUAUUAUGAUUUAGUAAGUGAUCAACUAAUGUGGACAUACUUCCUCCGUCCCAAAUUAAGAUGGCACAUUGAUUAAGAAAAAUAAUUAAUAACAUAGUUAGUUUAUCAUAGUACCCCUAUUAAAUGAUGUUUAUAUUUUAAUCUAAAAAAAAAUAAUUAAUGCAAAGGUAAACAUGAAAAAAAAAAUUCUUUCUUUAUUAAUGAAAAAAAACAAGUAAAAUAAAAAAUUAAAUUAGAAAAUUUGAUGCGGAUAAUUUGGGAUGAAGUGAGUAUAUGUUUAGUAAGAUUACCAACUAAAAUGAGACAAGGAGUACUAAAAGCAACUCUAAUUAACUAAUUUUCUCUAAUUAGUCUCUCUGUUCACUUUUAACUUGUCAAUAUUUCACAUUUCAAGGUCAACUUGUAUAAACUUUCACCAAUAUUUUGAGGUAUAUAAUUCAAUAUUUUAAAAUAAAAAUUUAUAUGGUGGAAACUAUUAAAAAAAUAUAUAUAAGUUGCAAUUCUUCUCCUGUCAAUAUCAUAAUAUGAUGAAAAAGUACAAUCUUAAAAUAUUAGUCAAAUUUCAUGAAGGUUUGACGUCGAGAAGAGAAGCGAAACAGUGACAAGUAACACUGAACAAGUAACAGUGAACGUAUGGAGUAUUUCAUCCUCAAGUAAAAAAUCGUCAGCAAAUGAUGUGGCUCGACAGCUGUACCUUAGAAAGAAUAGUAGCGACGAGGUCAUUCGGUUUAGUCACCGGCGCCGUCGAUGCAGAUACAGAAGCAUAAAUUGGUGAAAAUGUUUUCGACGUCCGGCGACGAAACUUAAGUGCUAGCUGCGAACUCGAUUGGACGGAUACGGCGGAGAUG